ensembl:snoRNA
GUGCACAUUUCAUUGUCUUUUUUCUUUGUGUCAAGAGAAAAGAUAUUUCUGAUGUGCUAAAUAAACCUUUGGAGGUAAAUUAGCAGCAUGACUUAAUUUAGCCAUUGCUGUCAGUCACCUUCACACAAGA